UAGUGUCUUUUUCCUUUAAAUUUAACAAUAUCUCCGCUGCACAUCGUUUCUUCAUAACUCAAGCAAUUUCUGACAUCUAAUUUGUUUGUUUGAUUACACUUCUUCGCUAGCUGACGAUAAAAUUUCAGUGUCGAUCGAACACAGCACUUAUCAAUUUCAUAACUGCUCCAUAUAGGAUAUCGAGGCCUGAUAGAGCACCGGACAAGCAUGGCAGGAUCGUGUCCCUUCUGGUAAAGCCGUACUCAAAUCAACCGUGAAUGUUUGGUCUUUCGUUCCAAGUGAGUUGCGGAUAAUCGACCAUCAAGCCACGUUAAAAUCCCUCCCUCGACUCCUGUAAAUAAUAAAGAAUAAAUUGGACACUAUAUGAAUUGCGUAGAAGAUCUAAGAAAAUGAACGUUUGCAUCACAGCAAUUGGUAGUUUCUUAUUAUCUAAGAUAGUUUAGACUAGAUAUAAAUAUGAAAGUAGUAAUAUUAUUGAUGCUGUUUUCAACAG